GACGAACGCUGGCGGCGUGCUUAACACAUGCAAGUCGAACGGAAAGGCCCUGAUUUUGUGGGGUGCUCGUGUGGCGCACGGGUGAGUAACACGCGAGUAACCUGCCCUUGACUUUGGGAUAACUCCAGGAAACUGGGGCUAAUACCGGAUAGGAGCUCCUGCUGCAUGGUGGGGGUUGGAAAGUUUCGGCGGUUGGGGCUGGACUCGCGGCUUAUCAGCUUGUUGGUGGGGUAGUGACUUUCGAAGGCUUUGACGGGUAGCCGGCCUGAGAGGGGGGCCGGCGACAAGGGGACUGAGAGACGGCCCAGACGCGUACGGGAGGCAGCAGUGGGGAGCAUGACAGAAUGGGGGGAAGCCAGAGACAGCAGCGCCGCGUGCGGAAUGACGGCCUUCGGGUUGUGAACCGCUUUCGCCGGUGACGAGGCGUGAGUGACGGUAAUGGAUAAAAAAGCAACGGCUAACUACGUG
rnacentral:rRNA from 1 species